UGCGUAGACGGUUAUGUAAGUCGGGUGUGAAAGCCCUGGGCUCAACCUGGGAAUUGCAUUCGAAACUGCAUAGCUAGGGUGCGGAAGAGGGAAGCGGAACUUCCGGUGUAGCGGUGAAAUGCGUAGAUAUCGGAAAGAACACCAGUGGCGAAAGCGGCUUCCUGGUCCAGCACCGACGUUCAGGCACGAAAGCGUGGGGAGCAAACAGGAUUAGAUACCCUGGUAGUCCACGCCAUAAACGAUGAGAACUAGACGUUGAGAGGGUAAGCCUCACAGCGUCGUAGCUAACGCGCUAAGUUCUCCGCCUGGGGAGUACGGCCGCAAGGUUGAA
rnacentral:rRNA from 1 species